AUUGAACGCUGGCGGCAUGCCUAACACAUGCAAGUCGAACGGGUUGUACUUCGGUACAGCUAGUGGCGGACGGGUGAGUAACACAUAGGAAUCUGCCCGAGAGUGGGGGAUAACCCAGGGAAACUUGGAUUAAUACCGCAUGAUCUCUACGGAGCAAAGCUGGGGACCUUCGGGCCUGGCGCUUUUGGAGGAGCCUAUGUCUGAUUAGCUUGUUGGUGAGGUAACGGCUCACCAAGGCGACGAUCAGUAACUGGUCUGAGAGGACGACCAGUCACACCGGAACUGAGACACGGUCCGGACUCCUACGGGAGGCAGCAGUGGGGAAUAUUGGACAAUGGGCGAAAGCCUGAUCCAGCAAUGCCGCGUGUGUGAAAAAGGCCUUCGGGUUGUAAAGCACUUUAGGAUGGAAAGAAAAAACUUCAGUUAAUAGCUGAAGUCUUGACGGUACCAUCAGAAUAAGCACCGGCUAACUCUGUGCCAGCAGCCGCGGUAAUACAGAGGGCGCAAGCGUUAAUCGGAUUUACUGGGCGUAAAGCGUGUGUAGGUGGUGGCGUAAGUCGAUUGUGAAAUCCCCGGGCUCAACCUGGGAACUGCUUUCGAUACUGCGUCACUAGAGUACGGUAGAGGGUGGUGGAAUUUCCGGUGUAGCGGUGAAAUGCGUAGAUAUCGGAAGGAACAUCAAUGGCGAAGGCAACCACCUGGGCCUGUACUGACACUGAGACACGAAAGCGUGGGGAUCAAACAGGAUUAGAUACCCUGGUAGUCCACGCCGUAAACGAUGACAACUUGACGUUGGUUU
rnacentral:rRNA from 1 species